rnacentral:rRNA from 1 species
UAAGGUGGUUAUAGCGACGGGGCUCACCUCUUACCAUUCCGAACAGAGUAGUUAAGCCCGUUUGCGCCGAUGGUACUGCUAUCCAGUGGGAGAGUAGGUCGCCGCCUUCC